UCACUUACCUGGCUGGAGAAUAUCGCCGAUCAUGCAGAGCGAUUUCUUAGAGUGGAGCAGGCCAUUUGCACAUCUGGCGUCUGUAAUACUCUAUUGUUUCCCGAUAUGGGAAAACCAAACAGCGAAAUUUCUGGUAGUAGGGAUGUCUAAACAACACUCCCUG
rfam:Oxytricha trifallax strain JRB310 Contig864.1 macronuclear, whole genome shotgun sequence.